CACGGGGUUGCGAGCGUUGUCCGGAAUUACUAGGCGUAAAGGGCAGGCAGGCGGAUCCAUAAGUUUAUCGUUUAAGGCGUCGGCUUAACCGGCGUAGGGCGGUAGAUACUGUGGAUCUGGAAUGCGGUUGGGGAAGACAGAAUUCCUGGUGUAGCGGUGGAAUGCGCAGAGAUCAGGAGGAAUACCGAAGGCGAAGGCAGUCUUCCAAGCCGUUAUUGACGCUCAACUGCGAAGGUGUGGGUAUCAAACAGGAUUAGAUACCCCUGUAGUUCCUGA
rnacentral:rRNA from 1 species